UACUUUAUCGUAAUCGAUGAAAUAAAUAUUAUGAAUAAUUUUUUUAGGUAAUAUGAUUAUAAAAUGUUUGCUCCCAUCCUUCGAUCCCGACGGCGAUUUCUCCGGCGAGGACUUGCCGAGCCUCCCUUCCACCGCCGAAGAAAUUGCGGAGAUCGACGCUCCUGCGGCUUACCUCCGUUGCCGGAACUGCAAAGGGAAAGCUUCUGAUCUGCGUCUUCUGCGAGCCAGCAACAAAGGACGAGCGAUAACCCUCCUGAUUCCAUCGAGUUCACCUCCACUUCGGGUAACAAAUGGUUGUUUAUCUCUCGUAACCUCGAUUGGAUCGAUAAUUUCGACACAAUUUGCAUCAAUCGUUUUCUGAAUUUUUGUUUGUUUAUGUUAUUCUGCUGUGGGAUUUUGUCGAAUUCUUCCACAGCCGAGAAAAUGAGUUUCAUCGUAGCUAUCUUUGCCAAAGCCGGAGAUAGAGGAGCCAUCGAAAGAGACGAAUGGAUCAGGAAGAGGAAGGAAUGUGCCCAUAGAAGGAAUUGCCGUGUCAAAGUUUCUAAAUUUUGAAAAACAAUGGGGCGUGAAAGAGGAAAACGGUGGAACUAGGGAUGGAAAAUCGAUGCAGAGUAAGAGUCCAUUGAAAAUCUUUCCAAGGUAGAGAGGCAACCUGAGGAGGGUGUUAGUUUAGUUUGUUCAAUGGAACAGGACCUGGCGAUCUCUUUCCCAACUCUUCAGUUGAGUUGUCUGCUAAUAUGGACACUGUCUUUGGUUCUGGAAAAGGUUUAUUCUGCUUCUGUGUCCAGUACUGGUGAUUAUUCGGUAAUGUCAAUCACGAGGCUCCGAAAAACAACUCAGCUAUCCAUGAUCGGAAUGAGGAACAGAUAGUAGAGAAAAAACAAAAUGGAACAUAUUCCAUGGAUAAUGAUUGGAUUGGAGACGGUGACAAUCUAUGGCAAACCAGUGCUUCUGAUAAGAUACCUACUGAUGAAGACAAAGAAUGGAAUGUGAUUUCGCAAGCUCAGAUGACGGAACCGAUAAAGAUCAAAUACUGAAAAAACUAUCUCUUGAGGCUCCAUUGAUGGAAGCUAAAGCCAGAGGGUGAUACGAAGAGGAAACAAAUGCACGAUCUCUCACUCAUGCUCGAGGCUAAGCUUCGGGUACCUCCAAACACCAAAACAGAGCAGUAAUAUUUUACUUGUCUCUCUUAACAUUUAGAGCUCUCUUGUUUUUUUUGUUUUUCUCUGGCUCUUCAGUGGUUUUCACGAAUCGUAUUCUACCUUCAUAAUCCCCAAAUACCCUGCAUUUCGGUCUAUGUUUGACGGGAGAAAAAAAACUGUUUAUGCCCUUUUCUAGUUUAUCUCUCUGACUUAUGCACCGUUGCUGUUCCAUCUUCAGCUUGUUCCUAUAACCGACAGAUCAUUUUAUUGCUUCGAUGAAGUCAGAAGAUGGGAACUACAUUGAAGAAUAAUGUGGCAACAAGAGCUCUGGAUACACAGCAAUGGCCUCCUGCAGAGAUAGAGGUCGUCAAUGGAGACAUGAUUGGAAACAAAAAAAAACGAUACCUUGGGCAAGAAGGCAGAGUCGUGGAGGAUGCAAUAGGCAGGCAAGAGACAGUAACAUA